rnacentral:rRNA from 1 species
AACGAACGCUGGCGGCAUGCCUAACACAUGCAAGUCGAACGAGACCUUCGGGUCUAGUGGCGCACGGGUGCGUAACGCGUGGGAACCUGCCCUUAGGUUCGGAAUAACUCCCCGAAAGGGGUGCUAAUACCGGAUAAUGUCUUCGGACCAAAGAUUUAUCGCCUUUGGAUGGGCCCGCGUUGGAUUAGCUAGUUGGUAGGGUAAAAGCCUACCAAGGCGACGAUCCAUAGCUGGUCUGAGAGGAUGAUCAGCCACACUGGGACUGAGACACGGCCCAGACUACUACGGGAGGCAGCAGUGGGGAAUAUUGGACAAUGGGCGAAAGCCUGAUCCAGCAAUGCCGCGUGAGUGAUGAAGGCCUUAGGGUUGUAAAGCUCUUUUAACCGGGAUGAUAAUGACAGUACCGGGAGAAUAAGCGCCGGCUAACUCCGUG